rnacentral:lncRNA from 1 species
GGCAGAGAUAAGUAGCAACAAUUCAAGAAUCUUCGCUCACACAUACUGCUCUAUACAAGGAAGAGAAAGUACAUUUCAAGAGGCAAAAAUUUUGUCUUGUUAAAAUUAACAAAUACAUAAAAGAUAAUGUCCAAGUCCCUAUAGAGUUCAGAUAAUAUGUAAAAUAUGAACAAAUAAUUAAAAAUUGAUAGUUUUUCAAAAAUCACAGGCAACACAAGCAGAAGAAAAGCAUAAGCAUGAAAUCACACUCUAAAUUCACUCAGAGCUGCCAAGGAACACUUCUGGGAGCCCUUGGUAAUUGAGUUAUCUCAUGGCAGGGAAACUCCUGCAACGGGACUAAGCUGGUAAUGAUGUGGACAGAAUUGUUUCUGUGUCAACCCCAUCUCUCACUUUAUCUGUUUGAGAAGUGAAUAGGAGUUGAGAGCCAUGGUGAUGACUAUGCUGACUCUACCACAUCUCUCUUCUGCAUCCUGUUCUGCUCAUUUACAUCACACAACACCAAGGAUCCAGAACUC